rnacentral:rRNA from 1 species
CACGUAGGGUGCGAGCGUUGUCCGGAAUUAUUGGGCGUAAAGAGCUCGUAGGCGGUGUGUCGCGUCGGCCGUGAAAACCUGCAGCUUAACUGUGGGCUUGCGGUCGAUACGGGCAUCACUGGAGUUCGGCAGGGGAGACUGGAAUUCCUGGUGUAGCGGUGGAAUGCGCAGAUAUCAGGAGGAACACCGGUGGCGAAGGCGGGUCUCUGGGCCGAUACUGACGCUGAGGAGCGAAAGCGUGGGGAGCGAACAGG